rnacentral:tRNA from 15 species
CUCUCGGUAGCUUAGUUGGUAAAGCAUUAGACUGUAAAUCUAAGGAUCGGGUGUUCGACUCACUCCCGGGAGA